rnacentral:rRNA from 1 species
AGUGAACGCUGGCGGUAGGCCUAACACAUGCAAGUCGAACGGCAGCACAGUAAGAGCUUGCUCUUACGGGUGGCGAGUGGCGGACGGGUGAGGAAUACAUCGGAAUCUACUUUUUCGUGGGGGAUAACGUAGGGAAACUUACGCUAAUACCGCAUACGACCUACGGGUGAAAGCAGGGGAUCUUCGGACCUUGCGCGAUUGAAUGAGCCGAUGUCGGAUUAGCUAGUUGGCGGGGUAAAGGCCCACCAAGGCGACGAUCCGUAGCUGGUCUGAGAGGAUGAUCAGCCAAACUGGAACUGAGACACGGUCCAGACUCCUACGGGAGGAAGCAGUGGGGAAUAUUGGACAAUGGGGGAAAGCCUGAUCCAGCCAUACCGCGUGGGUGAAGAAGGCCUUCGGGUUGUAAAGCCCUUUUGUUGGGAAAGAAAAGCAGCAGGUUAAUACCCCGCUGUUCUGACGGUACCCAAAGAAUAAGCACCGGCUAACUUCGUG